GGGUAAACUUUUGGCGUUAGGGUGGAACAGUGAUUUGGCUUAACAUAAACCCCACAGCCCAUAAUCACCAGAAGCCCUGCAAUAUUUUCUAAUGUUUGGUUUAGACAUGUUGUUCUGAAUGUCACUCUCUCGUCUUCUGCGCCACUUGGGCGAUACAAAAUGCAUUCCCAAAGGCCGAGCACUUCACGCCAAUAUCAUCACAUCUGGAUUUCACCCAGAUGUUUACGCAAACAACCAUUUACUGUUGAUGUACAUUAAAGUCAACCGAAUGGAAGACGCUCAGAAGAUGUUCGAUAGAAUGCCUGAACGAAAUGUCAUAUCUUGGAGUGCCUUAAUUUCCAGCUUUUCUCAAAAGCAUAUGCCCAAUACAGCGUUAUUUUACUUUCGGUUGAUGGUUUUUCAUGGGUUUGAACCGAAUUAUUACACUUAUGUUGGGGCUGUUUCUGCUUGUGCAAGUAUAAGUGAUGGGAGAACUGGUAAGGAGAUUCACGGGAAAUUAUAUCGGAGUGGAUUGGAGUUGAAUAGUCAUGUUAGUAACUGUUUGGUUAAUAUGUAUGGGAAAUGUGGUUUGUUGAGGUCGGCGCAAUUUGUUUUUGAUGCAACUUUGGAGCCAAAUUUGGUUUCUUGGACUUCGCUGUUGUCAAGUUAUUGCCAGCAUGGAGAACAUGUACAUAGUUUGAAUCUUUUUGUGUUGUCGAGGAAGGCUGGAGUGGUUUUUAAUGAGUUUUCUGGUGCUAGUGUAUUGGGUGCUUGUGCUGCAUUGGGGAACUUGAAGGUUGGGAUACAAGUUCAUUCGUUAGUGUUGAAGUGUUGUCUUGAGUUUGAUAAAUUUAUUGUCACAGGUUUGAUUAAUUUGUAUUCAAAGUGUGGAGAAUUGGAAAUGGCUUGUAGGGUGUUUUUGGGGUUAGAGCAGCCAGACUUGUCAGCUUGGAGUACAUUGAUAGGAGGAUAUGUUCAAUUUGGCAAAGCAGGAGAAGCUAUUGAUCUUUUUGUCAAGUUGUAUUCUUCAGGCCUUACACCUAGUGAACGGACAUUUUCAUGUGUGCUUGGAGCCUUUGCAGAUACAAAGGAUGUUGAAGCUGGGAAACAACUUCAUUCUUUGAUAAUUAAAACAGGAUGCAGUUCGUUUACAUUUGUUAAUAAUGCAGUUUUGGACUUCUACUCAAAAUGCGGACUUCUUGAGGAGUCGAUGAAAAUCUUUGAAGAAAUGGAUGAGCAUGAUAUCGUCUCAUGGAAUGCCCUUAUAUCGGGACAUGUUGGAUUAGGUCAUUAUGAAGAGGCCAUUGAGCAUCUGAAUAAUAUGCUUUCUGAUGGACAUUAUCCUAAUCUUUAUACUUAUUCUAGCAUUUUGAAUAUUUGUAGUGAUGUCCCAGCUAUUGGAUGGGGCAAGCAAACCCAUUGCUGCAUUAUAAAACCCGGAUUUGUUUCUAAUGUAGUUGUUGGAACUGCUCUCAUAGACAUGUAUGCAAAAUGCGGAAAAUUGCUUGACGCUCGUAAAGUUUUUGAUUUUCUAAAUUCUAAGAACUUGGUUUCUUGGAAUACUAUGCUUGUGGGAUAUGCUCAACAUGGAUUAGGGAGGGAAGCAUUAGAAAUUUAUAGCUUGAUGCAGAGAAAUAAGAUCAAACCCAAUGAUAUUACAUUUAUUGGGGUAUUAUCUGCCUGUGGAAACAUGGGACUUGUGGAGGAAGGAUGGCAUCAUUUCAAUUCCAUGAUCACUGACCACUUUAUUGCCCCAAGGAUGGAUCAUAUGGCAGUUAUGGUCAGUCUUUUUGCCCGUAGUGGACAGACAGGAAGAGCUUAUGAAUUUAUAAAGAGUUUUCCUAUAGAACCUGAUAAAGUGGUUUGGCGAUGUCUCUUGUCAGGUUGCAAAACCCACAAAGAUGUAGUUCUGGGAAGAUAUGCUGCAGAGAAGAUUUUGAGUAUUGAUCCAGAAGAUGCUGCAGCUCUUAUCAUGCUGUCAAAUGUGUAUGCAGAAGCUAAAAUGUGGGAUGAAACUGCCCAAGUGAGAAAAAUAAUGAAAGAAAAAGCAUUGAAGAAAGAUACUGGAUAUAGCUGGACUGAGCUUAAGAACAAAAUACAUUAUUUUUCUGCAAGUCAUUAUGCACAAUUUCAAGGAAUUAACCUGUGUGAAAUUAUGCAUGGUUUGACAGCACACUUGUUUGAUUCAGGAUAUGAACCUGACGCCAUCUUCUCACUCCACUUUGAGUAAGCCUAGAAGUUUGAAGGGUAAAUAUUUGGUGACAAUACAUUUCACUUAAAUUGCUCGUUGCAUGUGAUAAAAUAUGCCCACAUGAAUUCAUUGUAGCUGAUAUCUAUGUCAAUAAUAGUUGACAUGCAAAGUAGAGCAACAAGUUAGAAGUAUAGAUAACUCUUAGACAUGAGGUCAAAUUAGGCUGCAUAACUUUGUUAAGGAUUUGUUAUCAGCAGGAAUUUCAGAGGUUUGUUGUGUUGCAGCAUUCCUGGGUGGGAGGUUAACAUAUUCCAGAGCUUGUGUUCUUAAAUUCUGAGGGUAAUCGGCAACACACCAAUUUUUGGUCCUGCUUCUGUUGACCAUUUCAAAAAUAGAUGGUUCCCUAAUUGGUAUGAACUGGUUUCCUUUUAGCUUUCAAUCCUGUGCAAGAUCUUCUUGCAGAAUUUCUGUUUUCACUGCUCUCAUUAUCUUCAGUUCGUGAAAAUACCUAUCAAAAAUGGGAGAAGUCAGAACAAGCUGAAGAGAAAAAGUUUAGCAUCUGGUAGAAUUUUAGAGCACUGUUCAGGGUGGAAAAAAGGAAAAAAAGUUUAUAUUGAUAAAAUUAUGACCCCUAAUAGUCUGAAAACUUAAAAAAGCUCAGUCUAAUUCCUACAAAUAUUGUUCGCCUGUAUUUCUGCACUGUUGAAAUGGCUUCCUCGGUAGUAUAUUCAUUGAACCAGAUGUUAUGAGUUGCUUACCUGAGCUUCAACAACACUGAUUCCAUUCUUCUUUAGGAGGCCGAAGAAGCAGCUAAGGUUUUCAUUUGUUGGAAGAAAAGAACAUGUCCAUGAUGCAGUUGCAAGACAUGUUUAACUCUACAGCAAUCCUGAAUACAAGCUGAAAUAUGAAGUGCAUAGGCAUAUUAUCUCCUAUACAACUUUAAUAAUUAAUAGGGAAGCAAUGUUUGAAGUCGUCUUUUUCUCUGCUAUUGACUUUUUUUAAUCCUCAUUGGACACAUCAGUGAAAGGGUAAGUGAUACAGACUUGGUGAGUGAGAGAUUUCAACCCAGAGAAGAGAAGGCUCCUACCAGAUACCAGCUCCAGACUAUAACUCUCUUAGAACCAGUAUGUUACACAAUAUAGUCGGAAUAGCUCCAAUGUAACAGUGCAAUGUAAAUCACUCAAUGUAAUAGAAUUCCUAGAAUUAAUAUAUAUUCAUUUUAUUCAGCAAUUUAGUUACAAUUACAAAAACAUUUUUCUAAUUCAGUGUUACAAUAUUGAUUUCCAGAAAAUUACACAAAACAAUAAUCA